rnacentral:lncRNA from 1 species
GCCGGGCGUGGUGGCGCACGCCUUUAAUCCCAGCACUCGGGAGGCAGAGGCAGGCGGAUUUCUGAGUUCAAGGCCAGCCUGGUCUACAGAGUGAGUUCCAGGACAGCCAGGGCUAUACAGAGAAACCCUGUCUCGAAAAACCAAAAAAAACAAACAAACAAAAAAAAAACUAUGUGUGUAGCUCUUGCUGGCCUGGAACUCUAUUGCUUCAUAGACCAGGCUGGCCUUGAAUUCACAGAGAUCCUCAUGCCU